GCAUAAUCAUUUGCCUCUUAAUUAGAGGCUUGUAUGAAUGGACACACGAGAGUCAUACUGUUUCACUUUUAUAAAUAAAAAUUAAUCUUUAGGUGAAAAAGCCUAAAUCAAAUAAAAAGACAAAAAGACCCUAUUGAGUUUUAUUGAAACCAUUUUCUUUCUCUAAAAAAUUAAAUCAAUGAAAAUAUAAUCAAUUUAGUUGGGGCGACUAAGGAAGAAAUUAAAUCUUCCUCUAACAUAAAGACUAUUAGUCUACAAACUGAUCCACAACCGUGAUUAAAAGAUCUAACUACCAUAGGGAUAACAGGCUAAUCUUCUUUGAGAGCCCUUAUUGACAAGAAGGA
rnacentral:rRNA from 1 species